UACAGAGGGUGCAAGCGUUGUUCGGAAUUAUUGGGCGUAAAGCGCGUGUAGGCGGCUUUGCAAGUCGGGUGUGAAAGCCCUCGGCUCAACCGAGGAAGUGCGCCCGAAACUGCAGAGCUUGAGUGCCGGAGAGGAUGGCGGAAUUCGCCAAGUAGAGGUGAAAUUCGUAGAUAUGGGGAGGAACACCGGUGGCGAAAGCGGCUCUCUGGUCCGGACCUGACGCUGAGGCGCGAAAGCGUGGGGAGCAAACAGG
rnacentral:rRNA from 1 species